GUUAUCCGACAUUCUUACUGAUCAAGAACUUGAUCUUGAAAGAGCUAAGAAUGGUUUACGUGUUAGACGAAUACGUUCACGUUCAGAAAAACAAAACAAUUUACGUAUAGUAGAACUUCAGGCAGAUCUUGUUACUGACAGGAUAUCCUUAGAACAAUUUUUAAAAAUGUUUUACAAUCAACAUCGAGACCGACAAUACAGCAUGCAGCAAUUAAUACAUGAAGAUGCCAAUAACGACGAUGAUGUACAUCUAGAAUAUUUCUCUGAAAUACAGAAUGAAAGAGCGCUGGACAUUCAGUAACGUUUAUGACUUAGAUCAAAAGACAAACAAGUUAUAUGACUAUUGCCAUACUCUUAUAUAUUAUACGUAUAUUUGUAUAUAUAUUGUAACGUUCCAUUUGUAAGUUUACAUUUAUUCCAUUCUACUUUACUUUUACAAUAUUUAGUCAAGUUAAGGGUUUUCUUAUAAGGUCCGAAGGAAGAUUUCUUUUAAGUUUUUAUACAAUUCUUUUUUUUCAUGAGUUCUGUGGCAAGACAGUUAGGAUGCUCGAUUAGCCUAUUACGAUAUUUCAGGUUGUAUUCCUUAAUAGUUUCCUUAACUGUUAGAAUGUUUAAGUCGCAACAAAAUAACUAUUUUGGAACGUACCGUGGCGCGUUUGUAAUUAUUUUGAGAAUCUUGGACUGAAAUCUUUGUAAAAUCUCAAUAUUUGU
rnacentral:lncRNA from 13 species